CCCUGCAGACCUUCCCCUGGGGCUCUGCCAUCAGCGAGGCACGCUGGAGGGAAACCAGAAAGUAGGAAGAGAGGAGAUACGACUUUCCUCCUGCGUUCUAGCAAACAGCAGCAGCGCUGGGCUCCGGCCACAAGCGUCUGCCCUCACUCUUCCCAUCAGCUGCAGGAAGCCCCCGCUCAGAGGCCCGACGGGAAGUGGAGCAGGACCUCUCCUCUGAGCCCACAGAUUCUCGUGAUACUAACUCUUUCCUUCUGUUUCCUCAGUUCUAAGGCAGCUGUUGAUGUCACGGGUCUAGACGAGAGCAGAGGGAAUGAAGAGAAGUUCCAGGACCCUGGCCUGAGGAGCCGUAGCAUUUACUGAGCCGGUACAUAUGGGAGAGAUUGCAAAGUAGAAAAAGAAGUAUCUGGAGUGCUCAGGGUAAAAGCAGCAUGAGGCUGUGUCAGAAGAGACAGAAAAGAAAUGCUUGGAGAAGGAUGAAGAAGUCAGUAUUUUCAACGGCUAAUGAGACGAGACUGACAACAGGAAGCACAGCUGGACUGAGCCGGCGUACAGCGGGGAAAGGGAGAGCUACUGAUGGUUAGGGAAAGCUUCAUCCUACUUCUGAGGAGACCAUGAAUACCAGACUUACCUUUGGAAUCUGAUCACUAUUGUAUCGAACAUUUUCAAAGCAAGGGAAGUAAUUAUAAUUACUUGCGACA